UACGGAGGGUGCAAGCGUUAUCCGGAUUCACUGGGUUUAAAGUGUGCGCAGGCGGCCGCGCAAGUCGAGUGUGAAAGCCCCGGGCUUAACUUGGGAAUUGCGCUCGAAACUACGUGGCUGGAGUGUGGCAGAGGAAGGUGGAAUUCCAGGUGUAGCGGUGAAAUGCGUAGAUAUCUGGAGGAACACCGGUGGCGAAGGCGGCAUCCUGGACCGGCAUUGACGCUGAGGAGCGAAAGCCAGGGGAGCAAACGGG
rnacentral:rRNA from 1 species